CCUACGGGCGGCUGCAGUGGGGAAUAUUGCACAAUGGGCGCAAGCCUGAUGCAGCCAUGCCGCGUGUGUGAAGAAGGCCUUCGGGUUGUAAAGCACUUUCAGCGGGGAGGAAGGCGGUGAGGUUAAUAACCUUAUCGAUUGACGUUACCCGCAGAAGAAGCACCGGCUAACUCCGUGCCAGCAGCCGCGGUAAUACGGAGGGUGCAAGCGUUAAUCGGAAUUACUGGGCGUAAAGCGCACGCAGGCGGUCUGUCAAGUCGGAUGUGAAAUCCCCGGGCUCAACCUGGGAACUGCAUUCGAAACUGGCAGGCUAGAAUCUUGUAGAGGGGGGUAGAAUUCCAGGUGUAGCGGUGAAAUGCGUAGAGAUCUGGAGGAAUACCGGUGGCGAAGGCGGCCCCCUGGACAAAGACUGACGCUCAGGUGCGAAAGCGUGGGGAGCAAACAGGAUUAGAUACCCGAGUAGUC
rnacentral:rRNA from 1 species